AGGAUUCCCCUAGUAACUGCGAGUGAAGCGGGAAAAGCUCAAAUUUAAAAUCUGGCGGUCUCUGGCCGUCCGAGUUGUAAUCUAGAGAAGUAAUGCCCGUGCUGGACCGUGUAUAAGUCUCCUGGGAUGGGGCGUCAUAGAGGGUGAGAAUCCCGUCUUUGACACGGACUACCAGUGCAUUGUGGUAUGCUCUCAAAGAGUCGAGUUGUUUGGGAAUGCAGCUCAAAAUGGGUGGUAAAUUCCAUCUAAAGCUAAAUAUUGGCGAGAGACCGAUAGCGAACAAGUACCGUGAGGGAAAGAUGAAAAGAACUUUGGAAAGAGAGUUAAACAGUACGUGAAAUUGCUGAAAGGGAAACGCUUGAAGUCAGUCGCGUUGGCCGGGGAUCAGCCUUGCUUUUGCAUGGUGUACUUUCUGGUUGACGGGUCAGCAUCAAUUUUGACCGCUGGAAAAAGACCUGGGGAAUGUGGCAGCUUCGGCUGUGUUAUAGCCCCUAGUCGCAUACAGUGGUUGGGAUUGAGGAACUCAGCACGCCGCAAGGCCGGGUUUCGACCACGUUCGUGCUUAGGAUGCUGGCAUAAUGGCUUUAAGCGACCCGUCUUGAAACACGGACCAAGGAGUCUAACAUGCCUGCGAGUAUUUGGGUGGAAAACCCAAGUGCGUAAUGAAAGUGAAAGUUGAGAUCCCUGUCGUGGGGAGCAUCGACGCCCGGACCAGAACUUUUGGGACGGAUCCGCGGUGGAGCAUGUAUGUUGGGACCCGAAAGAUGGUGAACUAUGCCUGAAUAGGGUGAAGCCAGAGGAAACUCUGGUGGAGGCUCGUAGCGAUUCUGACGUGCAAAUCGAUCGUCAAAUUUGGGUAUAGGGGCGAAAGACUAAUCGAACCAUCUAG
rnacentral:rRNA from 1 species